UACGUAGGGUGCGAGCGUUGUCCGGAAUUAUUGGGCGUAAAGGGCUCGUAGGCGGUUUGUCGCGUCGGGAGUGAAACUCAGGGCUUAACCCUGAGCCUGCUUCCGAUACGGGCAGACUAGAGUGCGGUAGGGGAGACUGGAAUUCCUGGUGUAGCGGUGAAAUGCGCAGAUAUCAGGAGGAACACCGGUGGCGAAGGCGGGUCUCUGGGCCGUAACUGACGCUGGAGGAGCGAAAGCGUGGGAGCGAACAGG
rnacentral:rRNA from 1 species